rnacentral:rRNA from 1 species
CGCGGCCUAUCAGCUUGUUGGUAAGGUAACGGCUUACCAAGGCGACGACGGCUAGCUGGUCUGAGAGGAUGGUCAGCCACACUGGAACUGAGACACGGUCCAGACACCUACGGGUGGCAGCAGUCGAGAAUCAUUCGCAAUGGGCGAAAGCCUGACGGUGCGACGCCGCGUGGAGGAUGAAGGUCUUCGGAUUGUAAACUCCUGUCAUUAGGGAGUAAGUCAGUAGUCGUUAAUAUCGGCUGCUGUUACUAGUACCUGAAGAGGAAGAGACGGCUAACUCUGUGCCAGCAGCCGCGGUAAUACAGAGGUCUCAAGCGUUGUUCGGAUUUACUGGGCGUAAAGCGUGCGUAGGCGGCGAGGUAAGUCAGAUGUGAAAGCUCGGGGCUCAACCCCGAAAAUGCAUCCGAUACUGCCUUGCUAGAGUAAUGGAGGGGGGUCCGGAAUUCACGGUGUAGCAGUGAAAUGCGUAGAUAUCGUGAGGAACACUAGUGGCGAAGGCGAGACCCUGGACAUUUACUGACGCUCAGGCACGAAGGCUAGGGUAGCGAAGCGGAUUAGAUACCCGCGUAGUCCUAGCAGUAAACGGUGCGCGUUUGGUGUGGGAGGAUUCGACCCCUUCCGUGCCGUAGCUAACGCGUUAAACGCCCCGCCUGGGGAGUACGG